UACGAAGGGGGGCUAGCGUUGUUCGGAAUUACUGGGCGUAAAGCGCGCGCAGGCGGUUCUUCAAGUCAGAGGUGAAAGCCCAGAGCUCAACUCUGGAAUGGCCUUUGAGACUAGAGAACUUGGGUACGGGAGAGGUGAGUGGAAUUCCGAGUGUAGAGGUGAAAUUCGUAGAUAUUCGGAAGAACACCAGUGGCGAAGGCGGCUCACUGGCCCGUUACCGACGCUCAGGCGCGACAGCGUGGGGAGCAAACAGG
rnacentral:rRNA from 1 species